CGCGGCGGGAGCGCGCGUGUGCGGGACGCAGCGCGGGGGAUGCGCGCGGGCCGCGGAGGCGCCGCAGCCAACAGGCGGCCGAGGGUGCAGCCGCGGGAGCGCCACCGCCAGUGGGGUGGGGGGCAAAGCUGUAAAGAAGGCCCAGAGGAUUCCUGCGGAGCUGUAUUUACUUUACAUCCAUGUGAACUGCUGUCAUCACUACUGUGUCCAAGCCCAGAGGAUGAACUGGAAAAGAAGAGAGGGGGAAAAUAAUAAAAAGAGGAAAUUGGUUUUCACAACACACUCAAAGCCUGAGUAACAGAGGAGAACUUUAAUUAUCUCCAGUCACAAAGAGAGACAGGAAAUUUGGACUUUUAAUUAGCCAUUUGGAGUGCAGUUGGAUAUUUUUUUAGCUAGAUAAUUUAAAUGCGAAUAAUUCAAGUCUGACUAAAUGAAAGUCACAUAAUCAGAAUGCAAAUAAUUGAAUUUCUACUGCAUUCAUUAAUUCAGUGUGGAGGUGUGUGUGAAGACUACUAUGAUGAGCUGUCACAGCUCAAUAAAAUCUCAGUCAAUUAAUUUUUUCAUUAUCUUAGUAUUACAUCAACAAAAAAGUGAAGUGUGUAUAUGUAUCUAUACACAUGCAUAUGUGCAUACUAUGUAUUAUAUAAAUACAUAUACAUUAAAUCAAAAUGCAAGGAAAUACCUUUCUGAAUCAUAAUCUAUAUCAUUUUCUUUUUUUCCUUCUUCAUCUUCUUCAGGGAAACGUCUGUUCAUUAAGGCAAACUUGUGAAUUGCUUCUUCCACAGAGUACUUAGUCUGCCCAGAAACACACGCCUCAAUGUCUUCUGAAUUCAGAUGGCUCUGUAAGAAGAGGUGAAGGCUGCUAUCUGAAAGCAAAAGUGCAUUCUGUAGGACUCUAUAUUAAAAAAAAAAAAGGAAAAAUAAUUGGUGAACAGGAUGGUCAGUGAUAGGGUAGAAGAAAGAAAAACAUUAGAAAUGUACCACUGAAGGUAAUUUCUCUACUGUGGUAAACUUUGUAUCAAUUAUGGGCUCUGCCCAUUAAGGGGAGGAAAGCAUAUGUUAACUUUUAUUCAAUUAUUUGGAAAUUUAGGUGGGUAAAAACAUGAAGCUAAUAGUUAAGAACAUCUGUUAAAAGAAUAACUUCAAGGACAUUUCUUCAAUUUACCCAUCUGUUAUUACCAUGUGGAUUAAUUAUGGAAAUAUUUUGCUUAUAUAGUCAUAGAAAGUUACUCUACUUUAAAAAAUUUACUGCCAACAGCAUGUCAAUUCAGUGAUCUUUAUGGGAUAGGCUGUCAUGAAACAUCAAAACUUUCAACUACUAUUAAAAAUUAUAUGAAGAAAAUACAAUUCUCAGCAUAUUUUACAUUUUAAAACUUUACAAGUAUAGUUAUAUACUUAAGGGCAUGUUUA
rnacentral:lncRNA from 1 species